rnacentral:lncRNA from 1 species
UGGAGCUUCAUGACCUAAUACUCUUAUUAAAUCUUCCUUCUAGAAGGUCCCACCAUCUCCACACUGCCACUGUCACCCUGGGACCAUGCUUCCAGCACAUGAACCUUUGGGACCUUAGCACAUGGGGUAGCACCAUGUCUGCAUUGGGCAGUGAAUGUCUGGUGUGUGGAUUAGAGAAUGAAACGGCAACUUUUCUCCAGCCCACCCUGGAGGAGUGCAUCUACAGAACUUGGCUUCUAACUCUGCCAGAGGAGACAGAACUUUCGCUUGGCAACCUUUGUGUUCCCCACUACAUCUCAUUCAUGUCCUGGAUGGGAAGAGAGGGGUGAGAGAAAUAGCCAGGAGGAGGGAGGGAAGGAGAAGAAAGGAGGCCCUAGUCCGUGGCCCAGAAGAAAUGAACAUCUUCAAGUUUCCCACAUUUCUCAUCUAAGUAGGUCACACGGAAGAACCCGGAGUCCCUGUCAAAGUUUCAGGCAAAAACAAUAACUUGGUUUUGACCUUGCUCUCUUCAAAAAGCAAGUUGCUGCUGAGCUGCAACAUCAAAAAGAAUAAAUAAUUGUUUUUCUUUUUUGUUGUUAUGAUAUGGAUCAUCUGAGCGGUUAGUGGUAAGCAAGCAGCUUUGAUUCCACUCUGGCUCCCCAGCGCUCCAGCCUCUCUUUAUGUCAGCAGGCUCCUGUUUCUACCCCAGGACAGCAGAAUCC